rnacentral:hammerhead_ribozyme from 1 species
AUCCAGUUGACGAGUUCCAAAUAGGACAAAACGCGCGUCAAACUGGGU